UGGGGAAUUUUCCGCAAUGGGCGAGAGCCUGACGGAGCAACGCCGCGUGAGGGAGGACGGCCUGUGGGUUGUAAACCUCUUUUCUCAGGGAAGGAGAACUGACGGUACCUGAGGAAUCAGCAUCGGCUAACUCCGUGCCAGCAGCCGCGGUAAGACGGAGGAUGCAAGCGUUAUCCGGAAUUAUUGGGCGUAAAGCGUUCGUAGGUGGUUCUGUAAGUCUGCUGUUAAAGCGUGUAGCUCAACUACAUAUAGGCAGUGGAAACUACAAAACUAGAGUGCGUUCGGGGCAGAGGGAAUUCCUAGUGUAGCGGUGAAAUGCGUAGAGAUUAGGAAGAACACCGGUGGCGAAAGCGCUCUGCUAGGCCGCAACUGACACUGAGGGACGAAAGCUAGGGGAGCGAAUGGGAUUAGAUACCCCCGUAGUCC
rnacentral:rRNA from 1 species